rfam:Oryza glaberrima chromosome 1 Oglab01_0227_46, whole genome shotgun sequence.
UUUAAGUGCAAACGUAAGUUUCCGUACCCAACUUUAAUCGAUCGUCUUAUUUUAUAUUUUUUUAUAUAUAGUAUUUUUGUUGUUAUAAGAUGAUAAAAUAUAGAUAGUACUUUACUCACGACUUUCUUUUAAUUCUUUUAAAAAAUAUUUUUAAAUAAAACAAACGAUUAAAGUUAAGCGUGAAAAAUUAUAAUUAUAUUUAAA